rnacentral:rRNA from 14 species
AGGUCCCAAGGGUUUGGCUGUUCGCCAAUUAAAAAGUCACGCGAGCUGGGUUUAGACCGUCGUGAGACAGGUUGGUCUCCUAUCUACUGCAGGCGUCGAUACUUGACGAGAUUUGUCCCUAGUACGAGAGGACCGGGAUGAACUGACCUCUGGUCUACCAGCUGUACCGCCAGGUGCAUCGCUGGGUAGCUAUGUUGGGAAUGGAUAACCGCUGAAAGCAUCUAAGCGGGAAGCCAA